CCGGCAGCUGCCACGCUUCCCUGAAAAGGCAGCUUCCGUUCUGCUGGAGAUGAACUGAUUUGCCUGGCAGCCAACUUAAACAAGGAGACUUGUCAGAAGUUGAUGUGCAGCAGAGAGUAGCAACUCUGACAAUAAAAGGGGUGAAUAAAUUAUUAUCCUUUAACCUCAAUCUCAGUAUCAGGUAAAGUACCAUAUUAAUUUAAUUUCCUGUUUCUUAUUAUUUUAA